CAAGCUUCUUAAUCUGAAAAUCAAUAAUCUGUCCUACUAAGAAUCUGAUCUGACUGUCAAGAUUUCGUAUCUCUCUCUAUUUUAUGUAUCUUCUCAUUUCGCAAAAAUCAAAUGGCAUCAUUGGCAACCAAUUUUACCGCCUUUUCUCUUCCUGUCCCAGCUGGCCUUCGCCUUCUCCUUUGUUAAUCUUUUCUUGAUCUCAAAAACCCUUCUCUUUUUUAAUCUAAACUUUGGUUUUCUCCGACCAAAGACAUAGAAUCUUGAUUUUUAUUUCCUAAUUAUCUCCCUCCCCAUUGCCUCCCUUAGCAAGUUAUUCUUUUUCUUGACAUUCUCAGGCUGCCGCGCUUUCAAAUUCUCUUUUUUUAUGCAAAUCAGCUUCACUUUUUCCUCCUCUGGGUACUCAUUAUUAUCACUGUCUUUCGUGAAACUUGCGAUGCUUUUAUCGUUAACGAGAGUUAUUCUUUUCUUUUUUGUGGGAAUUUCUUUUCUUGUGGAAUAUUCUGUGGUUGGGAAAGGGAUUGUAGCUCCCCUUGGUGGGGAGGCUUAUAAUUUGUUAGGCCAAUUGACUCUUAUUUGUGCUGCUGCUUGUUUGGUUUUGUUUAUGAGGCCAACUGCAUUCUUUGCCGAGUAUUUCUUGUCUUGUGGGUUGAUUUUUUAAGGCACUUGGUUGUUACAAACUGAAUUCUCUUUGUACACAGAUACAUUUGCUUUCAAAGGUUGUCGAAAGAUUUCUCUAUCUACUGCUAAAGAUUUUAUUGAUAGUCAGGAGGAUGGUUUUAGGGGAGGCAAUGAUUAAUCUGUUGUUUGUUGCGCAUGCAAUUAUGGUGUUUAUUGGAAGCAUUGGGUUGUUCGGAUUGUUGUCAAGUCAUAAGAAUUUGAGGCAUGCAGAGGCAAGUGGCCCAUGGCUAGCGCAGCUUGAAUCCGAUAGCUCUUUGAUGCUUCCUGUUCCUGAAUUUGAGCUGGAAUGAGGUAUAUGUUAUGUUUCUUUUUUCCUUCUCACAUUUGUUUGUACAAAGAGUUCACUCAAUGUUCGUUAAUUAUUUUGUUCUAUCUUUACCUGUCUGAGUUUGUUUAUUUUUGUAGAUAGUAAGCAUUUACCAUUGUUUGAUGAUUAGUGUUGAUAAUGCUUAAGAUUACUUGUUAUGUUACUGAUUUUUUGAACUAACUGAGUUGCUCUCAUACAAUGUAUAUUUUUAUUUUUUUAUUAUUUUUUGAGGGAUGUUAUGAUUUUAGAAAUCUUAUAAAAAGUUAAGUGUGAGAUAUGCUGCAUGCUGAUGUUGGCAAUAAACAUCCCAGCUUUUUGCUUGAAUUAAUGCUUCGAGUACAAUCAUGGUGAAAGAUUUUCUUUUAAGAGUUCGUGUGUGUGCCUGUAAUUGAUUUACCUUUGUGAAACAGCCAAGGCGAGGACGACCAUAUCUCCCCAAGGCUUUGUUGUUCUUCCUAGUUUACAUUGUUAUCAUAUCUGAAACCACACCUUUUUUGUUUAACUUUAACUGUUUGGUUUAACCUAUCGCUACCAGGUCAAACAUCAAGGAAUUAUAAUUAGGGAACAGAAAACAAGUCUUACACACUGGGAAAUUACCAGAUUGUAUUUUCACGUCCUGGGAACACAUCAGCAUUUUGCAAUCCUUAUGAAGCAUUUCCUUCGGCAUGUUGAAGGGAGACCAGAGGCCAUAUAUACUUUCUUAUUCAAAACAUAUCAGAUUAUUGCAGGAUUAUUUAUAAUAAUUAGUGUGUUUUGGCUUCUUCCA